rnacentral:rRNA from 1 species
UACGAAGGGUGCAAGCGUUACUCGGAAUUACUGGGCGUAAAGCGUGCGUAGGUGGUGAGUUAAGUCUGAUGUGAAAUCCCCGGGCUCAACCUGGGAAUGGCAUUUGGGACUGCAAGGCUUGAGUGCGGCAGAGGAGACUGGAAUUCCUGGUGUAGCAGUGAAAUGCGUAGAUAUCAGGAGGAAUACCGAUGGCGAAGGCAGGUCUCUGGGCUGACACUGACGCUCAUGCACGAAGCGU